rnacentral:rRNA from 1 species
UGGGGAAUAUUGCGCAAUGGGCGAAAGCCUGACGCAGCGACGCCGCGUGGGUGAUGAAGGCCUUCGGGUUGUAAAGCCCUGUCGGGUGGAACGUAUCUCCUUCCCGCUAAUACCGAGGAGGAUUGACGGUACCACCGAAGGAAGCCCCGGCUAACUACGUGCCAGCAGCCGCGGUAAUACGUAGGGGGCGAGCGUUGUUCGGAUUUACUGGGCGUAAAGAGCGCGUAGGUGGUUCGACAAGUCGGAGGUGAAAGCCCUCGGCGCAACCGAGGAUCCGCGUCCGAUACGAUCGAACUUGAGUGCAGGAGAGGAGAGCGGAAUUCCGAGUGUAGCGGUGAAAUGCGUAGAUAUUCGGAGGAACACCGGUGGCGAAGGCGGCUCUCUGGACUGCUACUGACACUGAGGCGCGAAAGCUAGGGGAGCAAACG